UACGUAGGGGGCAAGCGUUGUCCGGAAUCAUUGGGCGUAAAGCGCGCGUAGGCGGCCAGAUUAGUCCGGUGUGAAAGUCAGAGGCUCAACCUUUGAAUGCCGCUGGAAACUGUCUGGCUUGAGUCCGGAAGGGGCGAGUGGAAUUCCUGGUGUAGCGGUGAAAUGCGCGAGAUAUCAGGAGGAACACCAAUGGCGAAGGCAGCUCGCUGGGACGGUAUUGACGCUAAGGCGCGAAAGCGUGGGGAGCAAACAGG
rnacentral:rRNA from 1 species